AUUGAACGCUGGCGGCAUGCCUUACACAUGCAAGUCGAACGGCAGCACGGGAGCAAUCCUGGUGGCGAGUGGCGAACGGGUGAGUAAUAUAUCGGAACGUGCCCAGUCGUGGGGAUAACGUAGCGAAAGCUACGCUAAUACCGCAUACGAUCUAUGGAUGAAAGCGGGGGAUCGCAAGACCUCGCGCGAUUGGAGCGGCCGAUAUCAGAUUAGGUAGUUGGUGAGGUAAAGGCUCACCAAGCCGACGAUCUGUAGCUGGUCUGAGAGGACGACAGCCACACUGGGACUGAGACACGGCCCAGACUCCUACGGGAGGCAGCAGUGGGAAUUUUGGANAAUGGCGCAAGCCUGAUCCAGCAAUGCCGCGUGCAGGAU
rnacentral:rRNA from 1 species